GCAAACCUGCAGUAGGCUUUUCCACUUGAGGAACCUUCUCUGAACUAACAGAUUUCAGCCACUUCGCUUCCUGGUUGGGCCGAGCAAUGCCAUUGUUCCCUUCGUGGUUCUUUGUUGACAACUCCUUUCCUUGAAUACUUGGAACAUUGUCAGAUUUGACUGAAUCAGGCUCUGCAUUCACAGUCAAAAUGAAACAUCCGUAUCAAAUUGAGCAUUAGCAUUGGACUUGGGAGCAACAGAACUAGACAGUCCCAAAGACGCCCAAAGUUAGGAGAGAGGAGAUGAGUGAAAAAACCAUUAAAAGAAUAUUUCGACAUUUUCAACUCAAAAGCAGCAAAAUUGCCGAGGGUCGACUGGAAACAGCCUCUCUGCCCUUUCGGGCAGGGGUAAGGCUCGUCUACAUAUUACCCUCCCCAGACUCCACCUGGUGGGAAUAUACUGGGUAGUUGUUGUUGUUGUUGUU
rnacentral:lncRNA from 1 species